rnacentral:rRNA from 1 species
GAUGAACGCUGGCGGCGUGCCUAAUACAUGCAAGUCGAGCGAACAGACGAGGAGCUUGCUCCUCUGACGUUAGCGGCGGACGGGUGAGUAACACGUGGAUAACCUACCUAUAAGACUGGGAUAACUUCGGGAAACCGGAGCUAAUACCGGAUAAUAUAUUGAACCGCAUGGUUCAAUAGUGAAAGACGGUUUUGCUGUCACUUAUAGAUGGAUCCGCGCCGCAUUAGCUAGUUGGUAAGGUAACGGCUUACCAAGGCAACGAUGCGUAGCCGACCUGAGAGAGUGGUCGGCCACACUGGAACUGAGACGCGGUCCAGACUCCUACGAGAGGCAGCAGUAGCGAAUCUUCCGCAAUGGGCGAAAGCCUGACGGAGCAAGGCCGCGUGAGUGAUGACAGUCUUCGGAUCGUAAAACUCUGUUAUUAGGGAAGAACAAAUGUGUAAGUAACUAUGCACGUCUUGACGGUACCUAAUCAGAAAGCCACGGCUAACUACGUG